UUUAGGGUUUUUUGUUUUUUUUUUUCUUUCUUUUUUUUUUUUUAACCAAGUUUUUAAUUUUUGCUCUUUGUGUGAUACCAUCUUGUCAUAUAGGUCAAAGCAAAACUAUAUUUCUGCCUAUCCUAAAAUGUGUAGAAAAGAUCACUGAAAGUAAAAUAUUUCUUUUGUUAGUUGCUUGUAAGCUUCGAGUAAGCCACUUGUUUCCGACUGUAUUUCCAGAAAUCCUCUCUGCUGUGUUUGUUUUUGUGUCUUUAUAAUGUGGUGGUCAAACAAUGCUAAGCUGACUAUUUCCAACUAGUGGGGAAAUAGGAAUGCACCUCCCGCAUUCUCACUCCGUGAAGCACUUGCUGGUUUUAUCUGUCAUAUAUUAUUUAUAGUUUUGAUCAUCUAAAUGUUCAGCAAGGAAUAAAUGAAAGUUAUUGGUGUGUAAAACAUUGUAGACCUUGUGUUAAACUUGGACUUAUCCCUCCAGCAUCCUUGUACUGCUCUCUUCUGCAACACUUCCUUUCUAUUGAUGUGAUGCCAUCUUUGGUACUCUAACAAAGGGCUGUAUAAAUGUUUGGAAGCCAGAACAGAUGUUUUUGGGCAGCUUUCACACAGUUUGCCAAGUUCAGGCAUAAAACAAGAUCCUGACCACUUUUGGUUAUUAUAAAUUGUAAGACUUUUUUCAAAGGAAGACUAAGCAUGUUGAGUCCAAUGACUUCCUGUCUUCUGGCAUUCUACUGCAUGCCUUUUUUUUUUUUUUUUUACUAUACCAUAAUGUUUCUUAAGUUUGCUUUUGUUUUAUUCUCAUAAUUGGCUUUGUAUAUCCACUGACUGAUCUGAUUUUCCUAUCGAGUCAGGGCUGUUCACUCCAGAUUUUCACUGGUGUAACUGAGAGGAAAAUUUGGUCCGUAUGCUCUGUAAUGAGAUAUAUCAUCACUGUCAAUAUUUUUCUUCUUCUCAUCACUCCUCUGCCAUAUGGCAACUUAACAGGAAAGAGCUGAACUGCAUAUGUUCUUAGUAAGAUUUCUUCAUUCCCUUGCAAAAUCGAGGUUAGUUUUAAUACCAUUCAGAUUUAAAAAUGGAGGAAGCCAUUAAUCCCUUAGCAUGGGAUUUUUGUCCAACAUUGGCCAUCCAAAUGCUAGGCAGCCAGUUGAAACCAGUUUUCUGGACUCCUGCUAUAGUCCCACUUGAUCCAUCAAAUCAUAAGAGUCAGGGGAGACUUUUUUCUUGCAAACAUGAGUGUAAAUCUCCUAUGUACCUGCUGAUCUUAAUGGUGUUGAAUCAAUGAAUUAAGGCAACAUCUGUACCAGUGUAUUGAAUGUGGAUAGGAGAUUAUUUUCAUUAGAUGUUGAUAUCCUCUGCCAGCACGUCUUGGCCUGUACAAGGUAAACUCACCUCAAAUAACACCUAAGUGUAACUCAUUAGACAUCACAAGCCAGAGGCUGUUUACAGCUAGCCACACACACAUAAGGCUACCCUGGUUUAAGUGGAAAUUUAGCCCUAGCAAAAGAAGUCAUGAUACCUACUUGCUUUCAGGGCCAGAAAAUAGGUGCUGGCUCAUUUUAUUUACAUGUGUACAUGUUAAGAGAUACAAGCAGUGUAUAAAACAGUGUGAGAGAAUGAAUGAUAAAUUUGAGAGUGCUUGCCUGAAAAGUUGCAACCAGAGUUUGUUUUUAACAAGCAGCUUUACAGACGUAUUGGUGGGAGACUGAUCCCGUAUGAAUGAACACAGAAAACAGAAUUUGUAAGCAGUGAUUUCCAGGACCCACUAUAUGUGUUUUUCUUAAACCUCUCAUGCUACAGAUGCCUCUCGAAGCCAUCAUUUAAAAAAGGGAAGAAAAUAAGGUUUUCAGGAGUAAUUAAUGUGGAUUCACUGAGAGGAAAUCAUGUUUGACCAACCUGGCAGCCUUCUAUGAUGUCACAACAAGCUGGGUAGAUGAGGUGACAGCAGUGAAUGUUCUGUGUACUUAGAGUUCAGCAAGGCUUUUGACACUGUCUCCCAAAACAUCCUCUCAGAUGUGAUUAACUGUGCAUCUACACCAAAAGAAUCACUGCUGAGAUGAGCUCAGAAAAAUGAGCGCUUGGGAGCCGCUGACCAACCCCAGCAGCUGCCUGUGAAAGUUGAUCUGGAGAGCUUCUGUAUGCUGGAGAGGUGGGAGAAUUUGUGAGGAUGAGUAAGAGGCUCAGAUCCCUGAUUGACAGCACAUCUCACUUCUGCUGGCAUAGUCUUUAACAUCUCUGCUCGUGGAAGAAGGGUCUCAAAGGUGCUUCUCUAUCCUAGGAAGCCUGAUGUGUAGCUACACGAAAAGGCAGGACAGGCAGCAGGCUAGACCCCAGUUCUAUUUGCUUUCAGAAAACAUCAUGUCACUGCCUAGGAAGAAUAAGCGGAGUUUCAGAGCUGAAAAGUAGUGUUAUAUUUUAUUUCCCUCACUCUUAGGACAAUUAUAUUCUGUAUAUGUUGUCAGCCACUUUAUCAGAAGCUAGGUCCACUUUUUCUGUCUGUGGCACAAGUUUAAUGCAGUUGUUUUCAAUCAAUUAUUAUUUCAAGUACCACAACUGUUUCUGAAAAAAAAGAAAAAAGAAAAAAAGAAAAAAAAAAAAAAAGAUGAAUUUUAGCAUUUCUCAAGCUUAAGGGUUUCAACACUUUCUUAAGCUAUUUUUUUUUCAAAAGCAUUUGAAAUUUUGGUCACAAGUAGAGCAUGGCAGAGGGUAAGCUACUUCUGGACAGGUACUAGGAAUAUCCUUGUUUACUGUGUGUAUUAACCUUGGGCUGAGGAUAGGCUCUUGUUUGAUAUCUGAAAUUUUCCAAAGAAAACAGACAGCAACAUGUAAAUAAAUAAACCACACAUGCAAAAAUGACUCUGAAAUAUUGUGUGCCAGGUCAAGUGUUAGUUGGGUUAAGUCAGGUAUUUAAAGUAAUCCUACUUACACCCCCUUAAAUAUUGCAUCACUUAGGUAAGUUGUGACAGCUCAUUCACUGCCAGGAAAAGCUUGCAUUAUCCUCAAGGAUGAAUUCAGGACUUCAGGAAGCUCACAAGUAAAUGAAAAACAGAGACAACGGGCAGUGGCUUAGUGUCUUAAGCCAUAUGCCUCAGAUAUCUCUAGCCAUAGUUUAAAAUGCCAACAGGAGCAUCAUCCAAGCUAAUGUAGAUCUACUGAGUACUUGGCCAUUUACUGCAGGCAGAAAAAAUUCCUUGAGUUAAAUGCUAAGAAAUUAGAUCUUUUGAACUUUUAAUGGCUAUUAAAAAUUGCAGGGUAUUUUCAUAAGGGAAGAAGUUUAUUAAUCUUGUUCCCUUAACUAAAUUAUUCUUUUCCUUCUACAAAUACACUUUCAGUUCCUUAUGUCAAAGGGAAGAUAGGAAAGAAUGAAAGAAUGAAAAUAACUAGUGAUGUACUGUGUCUUAAAAGAGCUGUACUACCACACAGGGGUGUCUGCAACCAGCCCAGCUGUGAUUUGUGAGAACAGGGAGAGGGGUGUUGCAGAGGGACAGGGAAGAUGUGUGAGAACAAAUAUUUGCACUCCUACACUGAUUUUUUAUUAUCAGCCUUAGCCCAUAAUAAGGAGGGCUGGUCAGAGAUCAAAACCUCUGUCAUCUAAGUCAUCUAAUUAUAAAACAAAAGAUAGGGAGAGGUUAAAGGCAGGUGCUCGAGCAACAAUAUAUUGAGCAGGCAGGUAGGAAGAUGAGUGAUCUGAAAGAGACUGCUGAUUCUAAGGAAAGGAGAGUUUAAAGGAAGACUGGACAAUUAAAGAAAACCUCAUCAACAUGCAAAAAUGCCAUGAGAAGUAGUGUCAAAACAUUUAAUUUGAGAAAUAUUAAGAGAGCCAAUGGAGCCUGGUAGAUUAGAGACAGCAGCCACAAUUUAGACAGUGAAUGGCAAGUGUUAUAAGGGAUAUGGGAGGUUUUCAAAUAUGAAGAAGAUGGCUGGGAUUCAGCUCCAGACUGAGACGCUCAAAUGUGGGCAAAGGGCUGAGAAAGGAAAGUGGGAGGAAUACAAAAGAAAUACAUGAUGAUAAUGAUGGUAUGGCUGUGAUUAGCACAGUGUAGAUGCCUGAUUUCUUAAGGAAUACUGAUCGUGAUUAGGUGCAUGAUAGUAUGCAUUCACACACAAAUCACUUGGUUUGAUAAAAAGAUACUGAGUGAAAUUCAGUCCCUAUCCUUAAAAUCUGCACUUCUCUGUCGUGUGAUUUAUUGGUGUUCUGUACUUUCAUCUGUCAUGGGUAGACCUUCAGCAUUUCCAACAUCAGUGACUCAGUGCUGCUGAUGCUGGAAAGUGGGCACUGGUCCAGCCAUGAGUUCUUCAGUAUCCUUCUAUGAAACAUUAGUAAGAUUCAUAGAUACUAAGUGGCUUUCCCAAACCUGUUUUAUAUCUAGCAAUAGAAGCCAGAUCUUCCAGAACACCGUUAUUUACCAAUCAGCUGAUAACAUUCUCGUGGCUUUGUUUAAAUCAUCACUUAUUUUGAAACUGGAUAAUGCUGGAAAUUUUUCAGAAUACUUGAAAAUAGCCAGUGAGGCUAUAUUUAGGAGAUCAUACAAGUUUUAAUUGAUUUUCUAUUUUAGCUUUUUAAUGAGGCAGUUCACCCCACUAAGAAACUGUUGUCUUUUCCCUUCCAGCUUUAACUGGUGGUAAGAAGCACAAUAUUUGAGCUCUUAGUUUGGAACAGCUCUGUUUGAACAAAUAAUAAAAUAGAAGACUAGACUUAUUUUUAAGAUAGAGACCUUGGAGCAUUUGGGGAAGAAUGUUUGAAAGAUCAAAACAUUUCAGGUUUCUCAUAUGUCCUGAGAGUUGAAAAAUAAAAAGAAUUAGCUAGGGAUCUGGCAGAAGAAAACAAUUUCUAAGAGAAAAUAUCCUUCUAAAUACAUUGUUCUCUUUUCAGUGUUGUUAUUAAGCCAAAAAUUCCACUGGCGAUGAACAAGUAAUAAUUUAUACCAGUGAAAAUCCAGAGUUUCCACAAAGAUGAAGGAGGUUUUUUAGGUAUAAAGUACCUUUACCAGCAAAAUGCUUCAGAGUAUUCUCCAAUGUUAAUUACUUCAACAGCAUGAAAAGUAACAAAGGACAAGUCUGAACUAACUUUCAUGGGCUAUGAAAUGUCAGAUCCUUGUAACUGAUACAAUAUGAGAAGCCUACAUGGCUGAAAAUCUUAGGGAAGCAAUCUCUUAUUCCAGAGAUUUCAGAGCAAAUCCCAUUCAGCUUUAUACUCACUUAAAAUUGCAGUGUCGUGGUUUUUGAGACCAAAAUGAGUUGGUUUUCAGUUUAAAUCUUCUUGGAGAUGUGACCAAAGAUUGCAAACAACAUGACAGUUUUUUGUCCUUUUGGAGGGAGACAAAUAGAUGGCUGGUUAAGAUUACAUCUAUAACUUUUAGAUGGCUGGAAUAUGAGAUAAAUCCCACUCUCCCUAACCUCUUCCCUCAUCUUCUGUACUGAGUCCCAUCCAUCUCUAUAGCAGUACUGUCAGAGGUACCCAGCAGAAAUACAUUAUAAGCCCAGCAGUCAAGAGAAGUUCAACAGGAGCUUCCACUGGUACUAAAACAUUGUUAUUAGGGCAAAGGACUUUCAAUAACCUUUUCAAAUUUGAUCGUCUUGUCAUUCAGCCUCCAUCCUAACCAUGUAUUCCUGACUUUCACAUCCAUAGGGAAACCCACACUGAGAAUCAAGACUGUUUUUGCUUGAGGUCUGGAAGAAUUUCCUGGACUAGUUUGAAUUGUGAUAAUGUAUUCUGAGAGUUUAGGGUUAUGUUUCUGCAUUUGGAUAUUUCUAUCAUCUCCACUUGUUUUGUAGCAUGUCUUCAGCAAACUACUAUGUUACAUGAAGUCAAAGACCAUGUCUCCAGGGACAUGGUAGACUGGAUUGGUGGCAUAUUAUAGAUGGAGUAGAAGAUAUUGUGUUAUGGCAGAAACUAUAUAGUUAAGAAGCAAAAUGUAUUCACCUCUUGCUCUGGUGUGUCUUACACAGAUAGUCAGCUGGUAUUUUGUGAUUCAGUUACUCAGCACCUGAGACUUUCAAUGUUUCUUGAGGAUAAAGAUGGGAAACUAAGCUUUAAAGAACAAGGGACUAAUACUAGGGAAUAAUACUCUAACAAAUAUGAUCUGUCACAAUAUACCCCCAUGGGAGAAGAGAGCAGGCAAUGUUUUGUUGCUGUGGUGGGAGGAGAAAACAUUUCUGUCAGAGGAUCAAUCCCAUCUGCCCUUGAUCCUGCAUGCUUAUACAGCUGGACUUACAUGAUCUCUACAUCCUCCCAAGUGAAUUGCAGCCUUGUACUCACUUUAGAGGCAUCUAUUACUCCCCACUGUGUAUGUACCUACCUAAAAAUCCAUAACUGGUCUCGCAUCGAAUCAAUGCUCACAGUCAACUUGUAUCUAAACAAAUUGAAUAAAGCUAAGAGCUCUGAAGAUCCUCUUAUUUAUCCCAUGACAAGCACAGAGACUCCCAGUUCUUAUGCUCAUGACACCUUUGUCAAUAAAAUCUGCAGAUUGCACAGUAUAAAGUUGUUUUAUAAUUCAUCUCUCUGACAAUGACUGAACCUUUGAACAGGAAUGCUUUAUGUGGUUAUCUCAAGAACAGUGUUCAAGCUGAGGCUGCAUCAGCAAAGUGCAAAAAAAAAUUUUUGUUCCUCUUGAAGAGACACAUUUCAAGCAAUUUUUUGAUCUAAUGAAAAAAAGAUUAGAUAUUAUUUUAAAGAAGAAUUUAUAUUUGGCUGGCAAUUAGAUCAUAAGUAAGAAUCACAGGACUUAUUAGAUCAUAUAUUCUAUUCUCCUUCCACUGCAGGAUCAUUUUUCAAACCUGUGGUCUAAUUGCAUUAUUUUAAAGGGACAAAACAUCAGACUUACAGAAAGAAAUGUCACUGCUGUAGUAUGCACCCUUCAGAAAAUGUUUUUAUGCUGUACCUCAAAAAGUAACUGCUGUUAGAAUAAACUGCAGAUGGAAAUGAUGGCAGUUGGGUAUCCUUUUAGUUGAUUUGAUGGUGAUGCCAGCUCAUCUCGCCUGCUCUAAUUGGCACUCAAGACUUGUGAUCAUAGAUUAGGUGUUUUAAAAGUCCUGCCCAAAAUCUUUAAUUCAUGUAAUUUAGGGCUGUAAAUUGUAAGUUCAUAGUUAUAGAUAGAGGUGUUUCAGAUCGUCAUGUAAAAACUGUUGCAGGUUUUAGGAUAAAAGUGGAAUUUUCAAAGCCAAGUAGGACAUUCAGGCAGGAUGACUCAUUCAUUUCAGUGGAAAUUAUUACAUCCAAAUCCUGGUCCUGUGACUUUUGAACAAGAGGAUUACGUAUAUAAGCAGCAAUUACACACAAUUCCACCCUAAAAAAAAAAAAAAAAAAAAAAAAACAGGUGAAUUCUUAGUACUUUAUUCAUCAGUUUGUGGAGAAUUCAACCAGUUGUUUCACUUCCAAUCUGAACUUCUGAACUUUAAUUAUUAAUAAAAUCAAAUCAAAAUUGUUUUUGAAAGAGGCAUUUUGAAGACAAUUCUUGAGGAAGGUAAUAAAACAGAAAACUCUAUCUUCAGUUCAUUACAUGGCUAAAGGUCCACGAAAGUGACAAAACACCUAGGGGGAAAAAGAAAGGGGAAACUGACAUUGAUAUAAUAGCACUGUAGUCUGCAAUUUAAUAAUAUUCAGCCAAGGACACUAUGAGGUUUUAGCAACAGCAAACUAACAAUAGGAAUAGCAUGUCCUUGUUUUACAGAUACACGAGGAAGUCCUAGAAACAUCAAGUGGUUUGAAUUUUUCCUAUGACUAGUUAGAAAAUGUGGAAAAAAACAUGUAUUGGCUUUCCAUUUCUCUAAUUUUUAAUGCUCAGGAGCUGUGUUGGUUGAUAUUCUGAAGCACAUGGGAUUUUUGGAGCCCGCUUUCAGCAGCAAAGCUAUGUGGAUGUGGUAUAAAAUCUGCAGCAGAGCCCCUCUGUACUCUUGGCUUUUGUAUUUUGGUAGGACCAGUUUGUGCUUCAAAUGUGUCAUUAUCCUUUACAAGGAAGUUUCGCCCCACUCUUGAAUCAGUUCACAUUGUUAAUGUGCUCAUCAGCUAACUCAGACGGAUAUACAGACAGCUGUGAGGAAUCUAAUUAACAUUUGACUACAAAAGAAGAAAUUACAAUCUACUGUACUAUCUAAUCUGUCAGAGAAGGUCUAGCUUAGAAAUGUGUUCAGUAUUUCUCUGUAGCUUUUCGUCUAUUUUAAUGUAAUAGAAUCACAGUCAUUAGAGGUGAAGAAAAACCUUUUAUUUUAUCUUGUCUAUCUAGGUUUGCAGCUACUUUUACCCUUUGGAUGACACUGAGUAUAAUCUCUCCCUUCUUUAUGUUUUUUCUCCAUCAAACACCUGCAGAUUGCUAUCAUGCCUACUUUUAGUCAUCAUUUACUUGGGUUUAUAUAAUUUGUGUUAUGGUUACCUGAAGAUCAAAACUUCCAUCUUUCUCACUGUGUCUUCUCUUUAAACAUUUUACAAAAUCCACCAUUAUCUCAAGAAUGAUAGAGUGAUCUUACUAUUCAGAAGAAGUACAUCUAUUCUGUAUUAAAAUCUGUGCACUAUUUAGUUUACAGCGUUAGCAAAGGAUUCUUUCAGUGUCACUUUAUAUGUCUGGGUUUUUUUUUUUUGUAAAAGAAAAGAAAAUUGUAUUUCUGUGUGGUACCUGCUUCUUAAUGUGUAGAAGAUAGGACAGAAGUGUUAUAAAGCAGAGAGCUGUGUGAAAAGAAGUAGUUUUUCCAAUUAAUCUGAAUCUACAAAAGAUCUGACUCUAAAAAUAGGAGAAAUAUCUAAUUCAAAACUAUUUGGAUAGAAGAGAGCAACUGUGUUGACAGCAGACAUAUGAAUGAUAUUGUUUUUGCAGAUGGGUUGGUGAGAAUCAAAUUGAAGCUGUUGAUCUAUAUUUGUGUAGGAUCUUUCUAAACCCUUUGAGGGCUUUGUCAUUAGGAGCAUGGGCCGCUUUACCGAUGAGGAAAGGCAGCACACUCUGUUUCUGUCAUCCACACACUAUUACUCGGACAACAGAA